ACUCUGGAUCGCGUUGACAACCACACACAUGUGCGACGACGGUUUCCACGGUAUCACAGUACUCUGUUCCUAGGUCAAGCACUUUGGGAUGCUCACACACAUGUUGUGCUGCCCCCUACUGCACUAGUGCCACAGCGCAACUUCUUUUCAGCUCCAUCUCCUGCUGGCCCUGGGAACCUGUUGGCCAAUCAGACAUUAGAAGCAACAACAGCACGGCGUUCUUUGUCACUGCAAGAGGCACCAGUCUCCAUUGUCAUCCUCCUCAUUUAUCGAAGCCUAGGGGCCGCACUUCCCCCGAAAUACCACACAGACCGCCGUGGCAUCAGGUUACCGAGGCACCCUGUGUUGAACUCGCCUGUUGUGAGUGUUUCUGUGUAUAAUAACCAGACAUUCGUGGAGGGUUUUCUGGACACUCCGGUCCUGCUGGAGUUUCGUCUUCUGGAGACCAGCAACCGCAGCAAACCGCUGUGUGUGCAGUGGAAUCACAG